rnacentral:rRNA from 5 species
UCCGUAGGUGAACCUGCGGAAGGAUCAUUACCA